AAAACGAGAUCAUCCCUGGAAGCGUGGAAGCUUGGCCUAUUUGGUGCAGAGAAGACUGCUGGCGAAAUUCACAAGUUCACGAAAGAGAGUCUGUCUGUUGCAAUAAGCAGUUUCCUGCAUAAAUCAAAGCCCAUUGGAGUCGUCUCAGAUACUCCUAAAUCUUACUGCUGCACUCGCUCGAGGAGCAUUUGCCACUUUAGCGGGACUGUAAACUGCAAGUGUGAAAUGAAAAGUUUGACGUCUUCCCAUUGCUCUGUUGGCUGAGGGUGGAGAAAUACUGGAGCGUUUGGCAUUUCCCUGAGCGCUCCAUGCCAAUUCACCUUAGCGCU